rnacentral:rRNA from 1 species
GACGAACGCUGGCGGCGUGCCUAAUACAUGCAAGUAGAACGCACAGUUUAUACCGUAGCUUGCUACACCAUAGACUGUGAGUUGCGAACGGGUGAGUAACGCGUAGGUAACCUGCCUGGUAGCGGGGGAUAACUAUUGGAAACGAUAGCUAAUACCGCAUAAUAUUGAUUAUUGCAUGAUAAUUAAUUGAAAGGUGCAAUUGCACCACUACCAGAUGGACCUGCGUUGUAUUAGCUAGUAGGUGAGGUAACGGCUCACCUAGGCGACGAUACAUAGCCGACCUGAGAAGGUGAUCGGCCACACUGGGACUGAGACACGGCCCAGACUCCUACGGGAGGCAGCAGUAGGGAAUCGUCGGCAAUGGACGAAAGUCUGACCGAGCAACGCCGCGGGAGUGAAGAAGGGUUUCGGAUCGGAAAGCUCUGUUGUAAGAGAAGAACGGGUGUGAGAGUGGAAAGUUCACACUGUGACGGUAUCUUACCAGAAAGGGACGGCUAACUACGUG